rnacentral:tRNA from 2 species
GGGCCGUUGGUGUAGCCUGGUUUAACACAUCUCCCUGUCACGGAGAAGAUCACGGGUUUGACCCUGCGGGUCACCA